GCGAAUUCUCUUAUUAAUUUACAACGUCUCCACCCGAAAAUGGCGAACAAGACGGCUACUAUCUUUCUUCUCCUGGUGUGUCUGUCAUUAAUUAUGGCAACUUCAACGAGAUUCAAGCGUUUAACUUUUUUAAAGUUGCUGCGAGGACGACGUGAUACUGUUGGAUCUAAUUUUUCCAGUAACCAACUUGUGGUUGAGGACUCCGCUGUCAACAAUAUAGGACAAGGUUUUAUUUCAAGAUAGUAAACAAAGCCACAUGGAGUCGCAAACAGUAUAUCAGUGUUUUGUCUUCAAUUAUUUUGUCAAAAUAAAAUUACAAUAUAUCCUCAUUUAACUACCUUCUAUUUCUAUAUAAUAUAAUAUCAAAUAAAUUUUUA